GAUGAACGCUAUCGGCAGGCCUAAUACAUGCAAGUCGAACGGGAUCUGAGGGUAGCUUGCUACCCGAUUUGAGAGUGGCGCACGGGUGCGUAACGCGUGAGCAACCUACCCAUAUCAGGGGGAUAGCCCGAAGAAAUUCGGAUUAACACCGCAUAAUAAUACGCUAACACAUGUUGAUGUUUUUAAAUAUUUAUAGGAUAUGGAUGGGCUCGCGGGACAUUAGCUAGUUGGUAAGGUAACGGCUUACCAAGGCGACGCUGGCUAGGGGCUCUGAGAGGAGAAUCCCCCACACUGGUACUGAGACACGGACCAGACUCCUACGGGAGGCAGCAGUAAGGAAUAUUGGUCAAUGGGCGCAAGCCUGAACCAGCCAUGCCGCGUGCAGGAUGACUGCCCUAUGGGUUGUAAACUGCUUUUGUUAGGGAAUAAACCUUCUUACGUGUAAGGAGCUGAAUGUACCUAAAGAAUAAGGAUCGGCUAACUCCGUGCCAGCAGCCGCGGUAA
rnacentral:rRNA from 1 species